rnacentral:misc_RNA from 1 species
GUAUUAAUUGCGUGUUAUCGCAAGAGACAUUCUACACUGUAUCGAGUUUGUGUGAAAACGCAAGCCCCCCCUCUGAACGAGCCAAAAGGGGGACCCGCGCGGUGAUGCACAAAGGGGUGAGAUGGAUUUUGUGCGAGAGCGCUCGGGCGUGCACGACCUUUGAAGGUCAGCGACAGCCCUCGCACCUCGGUUGUACGAUAAUGAUCCUUCCGCAGGUUCACCUACGGAAA